rnacentral:lncRNA from 1 species
CCCAUAACCCUUAAAAUAAAUCCCAACCUUCUACUUAAUGGUAUGAACAUUGUGGUACAAUAUCAGAGCAAUUGAAAUACUUAUACACAACUUAUUGUCCUGAAACUAGAUAAAUACUUGUUCUGGGCCCCUUUGGGCCUGUUAUUUUUUAACCGAUGGGACCAUAACCCCCGAAACCAAUCCCAACCUUUCUUUUGUGGUUAUCAACAUUGUGUUAAAAUUUAAUUGAUUUCUAAUUACUUAUACCAAAGUUAUUAUCUGGAAACCAUUCAUCUUCGGACGACACUGACUACGAGGACGCUGCCGCUGCCAAUGACAAGAUACCAAAAUACGACCAAAUUUUUUUUAAUAUUUGCGGUCGUAUUAAAAUGGUAUUGUUUCAAACUAAAAUGUUUUCAAAUAUUCCAAUGACCAUUAAAAAAGAUAUUGCAGACUUAUGAUUGAAGAUUUAGUCUUGGUUAUAUUAUUUUUUAAAACACAUCGUUACAUAUUACAGAUGUAUUGAAAAGUAAAAUAUCCCUGUGUUUCUACCCUUGUGCACCUCUUAUUUGUUAACUAAUUUGUUCAUGAACAUGUUAGCAGAAACAAAUAAGUCAUAUACAUCCUUCUGAAUAUCUGACUAGCAGUCAGCAAUUUUGUGUUGACAUGAGUUUCAUUGAAAUGUUCAUUUUCUGUAAAUUUAUACUUUGGUUCUUCUACCCAAAGGCAGAUAUUGUCUGAAUUGUAUUUGGCACAAUUUAAGGAGUUUUCGGUAAUUAAAGCUCUACAACUGUGUAUUUGACUAGGCCAAUCUAAUUAAAAUAUAGUUCUCUGAUUUCAUUAUACUCAUACUUAUAUGUGUGAGCACCUGAGUUAAUAUAUGUC